GGACACCGCAGUCACCAAGGGAGUCACACACUCCAGUGCAGCCACAGAGAAUUUGGAAAGAAAAGCUGAUCCUAGUGAGAAAAGGCAGCCACAGCUGGAAAUACACUACAGACAGGCUCACGGAGGCUCCAGGCCAAGAAGUAAUCCCCAUCAGCAGAACAGCACCUAGAGUGAAGCAGUUUCAGGUCAGAACACCUAUCUGAUCCAUGUCUGCUAACCACACAAGGAACAAUUAUCAUUGAAAAAUCUGGAAGCAACUCUGGAAAAGUACCAUUGGAUCAGAUGGGUUUCAACACAGAGAAGGGAAAGAAAUGCUUCUACUGUUUUCAAAUUGAACACCAGUUCUCAUGCUUCACUUGAGAACCAAAUACUACAUCUGGGCUACUUGCUGGCUGUGAUACCAUCUCCUCCUCUAGUCCAACUUAACUCCAUCACUAUCCAGUUUGAGGUGGCAGGGGGGAAAUGACAAUUGAAAAUAUUUAAAGGGAAAUAUUGUUUUGAUUUAGAAACAGAUAGGAAAAAUUGUUGAGAACAUUUAUUCUUCAUUUAAACUUCCAUUUUUAUGUACUAUGUAUUUGCUUAAAACAUUGGGCAGCUUCACAUGACAUGCUAAAAGCUGACCUAUGGAUACCCGGAGUUUGGUGGCAAGCCCGACUUCCAGAGGGGACAAUAUGCCGACAUGCCAAUGAUAUGCCGACAAUGUUGGCAUAUUCUGGAACUCACAUCUGUAACUGAAGAUUGGUUAUAGAUGCCAGUUGCAGAACCAAAGGCCGCAAGUCAAGUAGAACAACUGGAAUGUUCUUCUUGACUCACUCAGUACGGUCAAUGUCGACAUACUCCUUCCUCCAACAGAAAUUGGGCUUGCUGUCAAACUCUGGGAACCACCACCAAACAAAUAGUGUAAAGGAUCUGAAAUGAAGAAUCCAAAAAGACUGAUCCAACAAUAUAACAGAAAGAAAAACAAAUAUAUAUAUAUAAAAUAUAAAUUAUAUUGGAAAUUGAGUAAUCAUCUAAACAUGGUACUCUCAGGAAUCUUUGAAGAGAAUUAUCGCAUCAUAAGAGAAGACCUGCAGUCCCCCAUGAAAAAGAUUUAUUCCACAACAUUGAAGUUCUGAAGAAGGUCUUAUUGAAAUUUCUGGAAAAAUAUAUGAACUUUUAUUAAGACUUGAAAAAGACACCUGAAACAACGUUAUUACCGAGGUGCUGUUGUUCGCACAUUUAUUUAUUUAUUUAUUAGAAGCAUUUAAUAUACCGCCCACUCCAAAGACUCCAGGCAAUGUUUUUUCAUUUAGUUCGUUCAUUUGAUGGGCUACUAUUCCAUUCUCCUGUUCAAUUCUUUGUUGUUGGAUGUAUUUUAUAUUUUGCCAGCAAACUUGCCUUACAUGAUUUAUUUAUACUACCAUGUUUAGAUUAUUACUCAACUUCCAAUAUAGUUUAUAUUUAUAUAUUUGUUUGUUGUUUUUCUUUCUGUUAUAUUAUCGAAUCCGUCAGUUUACUUUUUAAACUCUGGGAACUGGCAGCUUGGCUUUUAGUGUAUUGUGUGACAUUGUUAUCCUGCCUUUCAAUAAAACAUUUUAAAGGUGACUUACAA